rnacentral:rRNA from 1 species
UUCGAGUGGCGGACGGGUGAGUAACGCGUGGGUAACCUGCCUUACACAGGGGGAUAACACCUGGAAACAGGUGCUAAUACCGCAUAAGCGCACAGGGCCGCAUGGCCCGGUGUGAAAAACUCCGGUGGUGUAAGAUGGACCCGCGUCUGAUUAGCUUGUUGGCGGGGUAGGGGCCCACCAAGGCGACGAUCAGUAGCCGGCCUGAGAGGGUGGACGGCCACAUUGGGACUGAGACACGGCCAACUCCUACGGAAGGCAGCAG